CCUACAGGAGGCAGCAGUGGGGAAUAUUGGACAAUGGGGGCAACCCUGAUCCAGCCAUGCCGCGUGUGUGAAGAAGGCCCUCGGGUUGUAAAGCACUUUCAGUGAGGAAGAACGCCUGGUGGUUAAUACCCAUCAGGAAAGACAUCACUCACAGAAGAAGCACCGGCUAACUCCGUGCCAGCAGCCGCGGUAAUACGGAGGGUGCGAGCGUUAAUCGGAAUUACUGGGCGUAAAGCGCGCGUAGGUGGCUUGAUAAGCCGGUUGUGAAAGCCCCGGGCUCAACCUGGGAACGGCAUCCGGAACUGUCAAGCUAGAGUGCAGGAGAGGAAGGUAGAAUUCCCGGUGUAGCGGUGAAAUGCGUAGAGAUCGGGAGGAAUACCAGUGGCGAAGGCGGCCUUCUGGACUGACACUGACACUGAGGUGCGAAAGCGUGGGUAGCAAACAGGAUUAGAUACCCCUGUAGUC
rnacentral:rRNA from 1 species